AGGUCAUAGUUUGAAUAGAGUACAUAACUGGGGUUUGGCCCGCUGUUCCUCCGUCCUUUCCUCGCAUUUGGUACCACCUGCGCCCAGGCGGGCUAAGGCGGGACAGGUCCCACCUCAAUGCCCUAACAGCGGUUAACCUAACAGCUGCUCCUAGGCUCUCGGAGGAGGAAGCCCUACCAGCCCACCCAACCGCCUCUUUCUUCCCCUCCUGCCAACAACUUCCGAGCCGGAGCCACUCGCCGGGGGCCAGGGAGAAACGCCUCCUGCGACUCGCCUUCCGCGUGCCCUUCGCUCGGGCUGUCGCGGGAGGGAAACGGCGCUACUUCGGCGACCGGGACCAAGUAUUCCCUGCUUUUCCUGCCUGCUUGGAAACGGCGGUCUCGGUCACUCAGGCCACUCUUUCGCCGGAGCAAACACGAUCGGAGCGGGGCCGUUGGCAAAAAAAAAAGUCGGAGGGAGGGGGACGCGUUUCGGUAGAUUUUUUGUUUUUCGGCUGGAAGUUAAAAGGCGAAGCUAUUUCAACCUCCUGGACUAAUUCUCCCCCUCCCGCCGGGAAUAUUAACGCCUUUCAAUAAACUGAUCCCUCCUCUCCCACUUUUCCCCCUGCAGAACCCAGCCAGACGUCUCGAAACCAGCCCACUCGCUCAGUUCUGUAUUAUAAAAUCUGACGUUUUCUUCCAUUAUCUAUUGUAAUAUAAAAUAAUGUACUCUAAACGGAUGGAUAAAGAGAGAGAAGAUGUGUACUGACUGUACUCAAAUCAUCAGAUUAGUUAUGGGCCCUUAAUACUAUUUGGGGUCGAAGUGCUCGAGGCAGGACAUUUCUCCAGCCGCAUCCCCCACCCCAAUUAAGUCAGAUUCCUGUGUCAGAAAGGCGUUUGCAUAAACUCUGCUUACGCUACCCAGUUAACUUUUGUCUGUUAAAAGUCCUAGUAGACCCAUUCUGAUGAUAUGCUAAAACUGAAUGGAUCUUUAUCUUUCAGACGAUUAGAAUGCUAUCUUUAUCUGCUUGGGUACUUUCUUACGGAAUUCAGUUUAUUGUUGGAAUCCAGAAAACGCUUCAAUCCAGAAAGCUGCUUAAUCCUGUUGCAUGGCUAGUAAGCUUAAGAAAAAGCUUGCAGGUCUUAAUACCUUUCAAGCUCCAAUAAUUCAGAUCUCAGCCGAACGUCCCAACUUUUUUUCCGUUCAAAGGACGACCUCAAAAGGAGGAAAGCGGGCAAAUGCUUUUACGUUUGAGUAUUGAAAAGUAGUUAUAGGUAUAUCAGAAGUACCUCCCAGUGGAGUUUUGUGUUGUAUUAUUCCAAACCACCCGAUGUAUGUAUAAAAUAUGCUUGCAAGGUAUUAAUCUUUACCCUUGUUGUUCUAAUAUUAAAUUCUAGCCAUUCCCCCUUCUGUUUUAUUUACCCCUGAACGGAGAAGUUUGGAAAGCUAAAGAGCCAUGAUUCUGGAGUGUGUGUCUGUGGCGGGGGUGAGGAAUAUCUUGCUGACUUUUAUGGUAUUUAAAAUAGUAAAAUAGCACUUUAAUUCUUCCACCGGUGAAGAAAUUCACUCCGUGCGAACUGAGAAUUUGCUUAAAGAUUGAGUUUAGCACGCAUCAGUGUAACUUGGUGAUCAGUACGAUUCUUUCGCUUCAUCUCCUGGACUCAGCCUGAUCCCCAAUUCCCAAGUAUCUCGGAUAUCUUUGGAGGUUUCACUGCAGCCGAAAAAGACAGCCCGGCCCAAUUGGGUGACGGGCGAUCGCCGAACAUCGCUCGAGGCGGGGCCUCCUCGGCACCCUCCGGCAGACAGAUCAGCCUCCCCCCCUCAAAUAAAAACGAUCGAAGACAGCGGAUCAAGGAUUUCAGUGUUUGUGGAUUGUAGGACACAUUUGCAGAAUUUACUGAACAGGGGUCUUUGCUGGCUGAGGAAUUCUGGGAGUUGAAGUCCACAAGUCUUAAAGUUGCCAAGGCAGCUUUAUUUUUUUUUCUAUGUUUCCUCUGUCUUCCUGUAUAUACAGGAGCAAAAAGGCAGCCAGAUCAAUCCAGGGGCAAUGAACAGAUGAAUCCAUCUGGCCCAGCCUUUCUUGGCAGCUCUAUAUGGGUAGUCUGGAACGCCUG